AGGAAUAAGAAAUAAAUUGCAGCAGAAUUCUCAUUAGAAACUAUGCAAAUAAAAAGAGAGAAAAGUGAAAUAUUAAAAAUAUGGAAAGGAAAAAGUUCACACCUACUUAAAAUUCCAGAUCAAGUUAAAUAAUCUUUCGUAAGUGAAGCAAAAUAAAAUAUAUUUCAGACAGACAAAGCUGAGGAAUUUCAAUGCCAGUAGACUUGCCCUGCAAGAGAUGUUAAAAGAGGCCCUAUAGGGAGAAAAAUAUGGUGCCGAAUAUAUAAUGCAGUAGCUGGGAUCUCCAUCAAUAAAGGGAGAGUGUUACAGAUGGAAUAAAGAUGGUUAAAAAAUUAAGUCCUAGUCUUCUUUUAUAAGCUUUUAUUUUAGGUUUAGGGAUACAUGUGUAGGUUUGCUAUAUAGGUAAAUUUGUGUCAUGGGAUUUGUUGUAUUGAUGAUUUCAUCAUCCAGGUACUAAGUCUAGUAACCUAUAGUUAUUUAUUUUGCUCCUCUUCCUCUUCCCACCCUCCAAUUUGAAGUAGGCCUCAGGGCCUGUUGUUCUUUUCUUGUGCCCAUGUGUUCUCAUCAUUUAGCUCCUGCUUAUAAGUGAGAAAAUGUGUUAUUUGGUUUUCUAUUCCUGUGUUAGUUUUCUAAGGACAGUAACCUCCAGCUUCACCCACAUUCCCACAAAAGACAUAAUCUCAUUGGUUUUAAUGACUGCAUAGUAUUCCAUGGUGUAUAUAUACCACAUUUUCUUUAUCCAGUCUGUUAUUGGUGGGCAUUUAGGUUGAUUCCAUGUCUUUGCUAUUGUCUACAGUGCUUCAGUGAAUAUUUGUGUGCAUAUAUCUUUAUGGUAGAAUGAUUUAUAUUCCUCUGGGUAUAUACCCUGUAAUGGGAUUGCCAAAUGGAAUGGUAGUUCUGUUUUUAGCUCUUUGAGGAAUCACCAUACUGCUUUCCACCGUCAUUGAAUUAAUUUACUGUUUCACCAACAGUGUAUAAAUGUUCCUUUGCAACGUGACCAGCAUAUGUUAUUUUUUGACUUUUUAAUAAUAGCCAUUCUGACUGGUGUGAGAUAGUAUCUCAUUGUCGUUUUGUUUUGCAUUUUUCUAACGAUCAGUGAUAUUGAGCUUUUUUUCAUAUGCUUGCCAGCUACAUGUAUGUCUUCUUUUGAAAAACAUGUGUUCAUGUCUCUGCCUACUUUUUAAUGGGGUUGUUUGGUUUUUCUUGUAAAUUUGUCUAAGUUCUUUAUAGCUGCAGGAUAUUAGACCUUUGUCAUAUGCAUAUUUUGCAAAAAUUUCUUCCCAUUCUGUAAGUUGUCUGUUUGCUUUGUUGACAGAUUCUUUUGCUGUACAGAAGCUCUUCAGCUUAAUUAGAUUCUAGUUGUCAGUUUUUGUUUUUGUUGAGAUUUAUUUUGGCAUCUUUGUCAUAAAAUCUUUGCCAAUUAUUAUGUCUAGGAUGGUAUUGAGUACGUUGUCUUCCAGAGUUUGUAUAGUUUUGGGUCUUAUAUGUAAGUCUUUAAUCCAUCUACAGUUGAUUUUUGUGUAUGGGGUAAGGAAGUGGUACAGUUUCAAUCUUCUGCCUAUGACUAAACAGAUAGAAAUUUAAAGUAAUCAUAAUAGCAAUUAUGAGUAUUAAGAGUAUUAUAAGUAUUAAGAGACUAUAACAUAUAUGCAAAUAAAAAUAAACACAUAGCAGUAAUUACAUAAGUAAUGGGAGGGUGGAAUUAAGAAUACUCUUGAGAGACAGUUCCAUUGUCCAGGAAGCAGUAUCAUAGUAUUCAACAGGUGACUUGUAUUAGCUAAAAGGAUAUAUUAGCAAUGUUCAGGAAAAUACCACAUUGUUUUAAAGUUUAAUAUAUAUGCCAAGAGAAGGGACAAAUAAGAUUGUUUAAACUGCUCAAAAUAUCCCACAUAUCCAAGAAACAUAUAUAUCUAUGUACAUACAAAAAAUAAAAAUAAUUUUUAAAAACACUCAAGCAGAGAAAGCUGAAAAUGGGCAAAAAACAAAUAAAAAAUGUAUCAAAUUGAAUGAUUACCAACAUGUUAAAAAUUCAUUCAACUAUAUUACUUUAAACACUCAUGUUUAUGUACAUCAAUUAAAAGACUAAGAUUAUAAUGUGAUUAUAAUUUAAAGGAAAAUAAAACCCACUAUACGUGUCUAAAGAAACUCAUUUUGAAUUUAAAAACACAGACAUGUUAAAAUAAAGAGAUGGACAGGUAUGCCAUCUAAACACUAAUGAAAACAAAUCUGGAGUACUUAAUGAUUUCAUACAAAUCAGACUUCAGAAUGAGGAAAGUUAUCAAGGAUAAACAUGCACAUACUGUAAUGACAAAGGGAACAAUUUUCAAAGAAAACAUAUCAACUCCAAAUACGUUUCACCAAAAACAGGAGUAUAAAAUUGCAUGAGGUAAGAACUGAUAGAACUAAACGGAGAAACAGACUAAUCCACUGUUUUAGUUAUAGAUUUAAAAUCCCCUCUGUCAGUAACUGAUAGAGGAAACAGCAAAAAAAAAUCAGAAAAAUUGUAGUUGAACUAAACAGCACUAUCAAUUAACUUGACUUAACUUGCAUUUAUAGAAUGUGUCAUCCAACAGAACCAAAAUAUACAUUCUUCUCAGGCUCACAUAGAAUACUCACCAAUACAGAAAAUAUUCUGGGCAAUACAACUUAACACAUUCAUAGAAAUAGAAAUCAUACUAGGAGAGGAGAAAGUAAAAAACUGGUCACACAUGCAGUUAGGGUAGGUUCUUGGUAAAAUUUCUUCAAACAAAGAACAGCCUGAAAAUCAAACUGCAGGCCCUAGAUAAGAAAGAGCCCAUGCCUUGAAUAGAAAUGUUUACUUUAUGAACCCAGAUGAACAAAUUCCACUCCUUUUUGGACAAAUUUCUCUCUCCUGGGCAGGCCUUAGUAUCUUACUUUUCACCUAUUUUACAUAUGCUUACAUUUCUGUAACUGGCUGUAGGCUAAGUCUACAUUUACAUAGGGUGAAUCGUCACUUUAGUUGCUGAUUGUUCCCAGGACAAGAUUCUGGGCCAAGCCUUCACCUCUGUCUCCAAUUGGUCCUUUAUGCUCUCAUACGUCUUUCUAAGUGCUGCUUUCUUGAAUAGAGUCUGCAGCCCGGUCAGCACAUUCCUCCCCUUCCCAGUCCAUCAAAACCCCAGACUCAGCUUCAUACUUGGCUAUCCUCUUUCAGGCCUACUCUCCACUGUGGAGAGCUUUCUUCUUUUGCUUACUAAACUUGCACUCCAGCCUCACCAUUUGUGUCCACAUGCCUUAAUUUUCUUGGCCGUAAGAUAAAGAAUUUUGGAUGAUACCUGAAACAAUGAGACUACUACACUGUGGCAUAUUGGUGAGACUGUAACAAAACAAAGUAUAUUCUCAAACCACAAUAGAACUAAACUAGACAUCAAUAACAAAGGUAGUUGGAGAUUCCUAAAAUAUCCGAAAAUAAAAUAACACUCUCUUGAAAAACACAUGGGCCAAAGAAAAAGUGUAAUGAAGAAAAUGUUUUAAAUAUUUUGAAUUCAAUGAAAAUAAAAAUAUAACUUACCGAAACAUACAGAGUGGAAAUGAAAUUUUAAACCAAUAAACACAUAUAUUAGAGGAAAAAAUCUAAAAUCAAUAAUCUAAGUUUCUAUCUUAGUAAAGUACAGAAAAAGAGAUACAUUUAAAUUCAAAGCAAGUAGGAGAAAAGAAAGAAAUCAGAGCAGAGAAAAAUAAAUUUGAAAACAGCCCACAGAAAAAAUCAGCAGCCAAAAAAGAAGUAAUUUUAAAAAAUCAAUACAAAUAAAAAACUUCUAUGUAUACUACCCAAGCAAAAAGAGAAAAGGCACACUUUGGUAAUAUCACAAAUGAAAGAGGGUUUAUCAUGAAUGAUCCCAUGGACAUGAAAAUGUAAUAAAAAAUUAUAAAUAACUUUAUGCCCACAAAUUUGAUAAUUUCAAUGAAUAGAACAAAAUUCCUGAAAGACACCACUGUCAGAACUCAUACAAAGACAAACAGAUAAUUUGAAUAGGCUUAUAGCUAUAAAGAAAAUGAAUUGCUAAUUAAUGUCUUUUCCAAAAAUCUACCAGAGUCACCUAAUUUAACUACAGAAUUCUACAGAACUUCUAAAGAAUAAAUAUGCAGUAGUCUGCUUGGCUGCCAUAUGAAAUACCACAAGAUGUGUGGCUUAAAUAACAUAAUUUUAUUUUUUCACAAUUCUGAACACUAGAAGUCUAAGAUUAAGGUGUCUACAGGUUUGGUUUCUUCUGAGAACUCUCUCCAUUCUUGUAAAUGGCUGUCUUCUCCCUGUGUCCUCACAUCAUCUUUUCUCUAUGUGCAAACCACCUGGUGUCUGUUUAUUAGGAUACCAGUCAUGCAGGAUAAGGGCCCCAUCCUAAUGGCCUCUUUUUAACUUAUGGCCUCUUUAAGGGCUUUAUCUUCAAGUAAGGUCACAUUCUGAGGUACUUUGUGUCAGAACUUUAAUAUAUGGAAACUGCAGGGUAGCAAUCCAGCUCAUAAACAAUCCCAAUUUUCUAAAUAUUUUCCAUGAAAUAAGAGUAAAGGGAACCCUUUUUGUCUCUUGCUAUGUGGCAAGUAUGAGCCUAAUACCAAAACCAGAUAAAGACAUUGCACAAAAGAAAAACUACAGGCCAAUGUCUCUCAUAAACAUAAAUGCAAAAAUUCUUAACAUAAGUAAUAGAAAAUAGAAUUCUACAUGAUAAACAGAUAAAGACAUUGCACAAAAGAAAAACUACAGGCCAAUGUCUCUUAUAAACAUAGAUGCAAAAAUUAUUACCAUAAAUAUUAGCAAAUAGAUUUCUACCAUAUGUGAAAAUAUAUAUACACAAUGACAAAGUGAGGUGUAUCCUGUCUAUGCAAGCCUGGUUCACAUUUACAAAUUAAUUAAUGUAAGCAGCAAGCUAAAGAAGAAAAGUCAUCAGAUUAUACAAACUGAGCCAGAAAAAGCAUUUGAUAAAAUUUAACACCAAUUCAUGGAAAACAAAGACUAUGAGCAAGUUAGAAGUAGAGUCCUCAAUGCCUUGAUUUUAUGAAGAAUAGCUCCACACAUCUUAAUGCUAAUAUCCUGCUUAAUCAGGAGAAAUUGAAUAUUUUCUCCCUCAGACCAAGAAAAAGACACAGAUGUCUCCUCUCACUAUUCAUAGUUCAAAGUGUGAUGGAGUUUCUAGAUUAUGUAACAAGACAAGAAAAGGAAAUAAAAAUUAUAUAGACUAGUAAAGAAGAUAUAAAAUUGUCUUUUUCUUUGUAGAUAAUAUGAUCAUCUGUAUGGAAAAUCCCAAAGAAUUAACAACGACAGCAAAAACUCCUGGAAUAACUGAUUAUAGGAAAAUCACAGAAUACAAAGUUAAUGUGAAUAGUCAAUUGCUUUUCUAUUUACCACUAAGGAGUAAUUGAAUUUUUUUAAAAGGUUAAUUAACCUUAUAUUAGGGCUUUGUGUAUAAAACAAAAUAUUAUAGACAACCUCAAAUCCGUUAGCAGGGAGAUGGCUAAACAAGCCAUUGUAUAGGUAUGAUCAUUUAUAAAGAAAGACACACAGAAUUAUAUUACUGAUCUCUAUGUACUGUGAUGCACACCAAACCUACAUUAUAUACUAUAUAAGUACCAUAUAAUAUUAUCAACGAAACGCAUCCAACUGUCCACAUGUUGUCUGUAGGUAUUUAUACAUAUGCCAAAUGAUAAUAGCUAGCUCUCUAGAGGCGGCAGGAAAAUGAGACAUUCACAUUUUUUUUUUUUUUUUAUGCAGAGUCUCACUCUGUCUCCCGGGUUGGAGUUCCAUGGCACAGUCUCAGCUCACUACAUCCUCCACAUCCGGGGUUCAGCAAUUCUUCUGCCUCAGCAUCCCAGUUAGCUGGAAAUACAGGUGUGUGUCACCACACCCAGCUAAUUUUUUUUUAUUUUUUUGUAGACAGAGGUUUUCACCAUUUUGGCCAGAUUGGUCUCCAACCCCUAACCUCAGGUGAUCUGCCUGUAUUGGCCUCCCAAAGGGCUGGGAUUACAGGCAUCAGCCACCGUGCCUUGCCACUUUCACAUGAUUUCUAUGAGAUGCCUAGCAUGAUCCCCUUCCUUACAGAUGGAGCAACUGAAGCUCAGAGAAUUACUGUUAACAGUGUUACCAUCUACAGAAUCAGAAUUAAACUUGGUCUGUGAAGUUCAAAAUUUCAUUCUCUUGCACAAGAGCCCCACAUUUUAUAUUCAUAGAGCAAACAAAAUGUAUUCCAAUGAGACAUAUUACCUAGAAGUAAAACAUGACACUCAGCAUCACUGGAAUGGAUUGUUAGAAGAUCCACUUCCAGAUUAUAGAGUUAUUUCUGACAUCAGUAAAUAACCCAUAAUAACAGUGAUUUGUAGAUAUUGUUAUAAAACCUCCUAAUAAAAAUUCCUAUAUAAGUAUCCAACUCAUUUCAACAAGAAUUCAUUAGUUUGUUUUACCAAUGUAAGCAAGUUGAAAAUUACAGUUUCAUAACAAAGUGUUUUGGACAUCACAAGUGGUGAGCUUGUGUGAGGAACUGGUGGGUUCUUGGUCUCACCGACUUCAAGAAAGAAGCCACGGACCCUCGUGAUUGAGUGUUACAGUUCUUAAAGGUGGUAUGUCUAGAGUUUGUUCCUUCUGAUGUUUGGAUGUGUUCGGAGUUUCUUCCUUCUAGUGGGUUCCUGGUCUCGCUGGCUCAGGAACGAAGCUGCAGACCUUCGUGGUGAGUGUUACAGCUCUUAAGGUGGCACAUCUGGAGUUGUUCAUUCCUCCCGGUGGGUUCGUAGUCUCGCUGGCUUCAGGAGUGAAGCUGCAGACCUUCGCAGUGAGUGCUACAGCUCAUAAAGGCGAUGUGGACCCAAAGAGUGAGCAGCAGCAGGAUUUACUGCAAAAAGCAAAAGAACAAAGCUCCCACAGUGUGGAAGAACACCUGAGCAGGUUGCCACUGCUGGCUCCGCAGCCUGAUUUUAUUCUUAUCUGGCCCCACCCACAUCCUGCUGAUUGGUCCAUUUUACAGAGAGCCGAUUGGUCUGUUUUACAGAGAGCUGAUUGGUCCAUUUUGACAGGGUGCUGAUUGGUGCCUUUACAAUCCCUGAGAUAGACACAAAAUUUCUCCACCUCCCCACUAGAUUAGCCAGAUACAGAGUGUCAAUUGGUGUGUUUACAAACCCCUGAGCUAGAUACAAAGUGCUGAUUGGUGCAUUUACAAACCUUAAGCUAGAUACAGAGUGCUGAUUGGUGCAUUCACAAACCCUGAGCUAGCCACAGGGUGCUGAUUGGUGUGUUUACAAACCUUGAGUUAGCUACAGAGGGCUGAUUGGUGUAUUUAUAAUCCCUUAGCUAGACAUAAAGAUUCUCCAAGUCCCCACUAGACUCAGGAGCCCAGCUGGCUUCACCCGCUGGGUCCUGCACCCACCAGCAGAUGGAGCUGCCUGCCAGUCCCUCUGCGGUUCCUAGGCACUCCUCAGCCCUUGAGCAGUCUAUGCGACCUGUGGCCCUGGAGCAGGAGGAGGGCUCAUCAGGGAGGCUGGGGCCAUGCAGGAGCCCACGUUGGGAUGGAAGGAGGCUCAGGCAUGGGAGGCUGCAGGUCCCAAGCUCUGCCCUGUGGGGAGGCAGCUAAGGCCCCGCAAGAAAUCGAGCACAGCAGCUGCUGGCCCAGGUGCUAAGCCCCUCACUGCCUGGUGCUUGCGGGUGGGCCUGCCACUGCCAGGGCAGGGCCAGCAGAGCCCACGCCCACCCAGAACUCCCGCUGGCCCGCAAGCGCCAUGCGGCACCCGGAUUCCCGCCGACGCCUCUCCCUCCACACCUCCCAGCAAUCUGAGGGAGCUGGCUCCCUCCUUGGCCAGCCUAGAAAGGGGCUCCCACAGGGCAGCGGUGGGCUGAAUGACUCAAAAGGGCUGAAGGACUCAAGCGCGGCCAAGGAGGUGCGGAGAGCCAUCAAGGGCUGCGAGGGCUGCCAGCACACUGUCACCUCUCAAGCUGAGAUGAGAGAUACAAAUUUAGAAAUGAGAAAGGAAGACUUCAAAAUAUACAGACUGGGCUCUAAAAAAAUGAUGAACAUGUGUAGCAAGGUGAGAAAUAAAAUAAAAGCAAAAAUGUGCUUUUUUUAAAUGUGCUAUUUUUACUAUAGAUCUUCUUAUUUCUGUAUCUUCUUAUUUUUCAGGAUAUCCCCCCAGACAUGCUGAAAAAGUGAAGAUAUAAUCAGCCAUCCUCAAUAGAAGCCAGUCAUGAUCACAUACCUAAGUGGGGUUGAAUAAGUGGGGUUGAAUGCACACAGAAAUCUAUUAAUUUCAGACUCUUCCUCUAUUUGGGGGCAUUUCUACUAGCUAGGAUGCUGCCAUAGCACUUGAAUUUUAAUUUUCAAUAUCAAACCUAAGAUUACUUCACUCCUGCUGGAUAUUACUUUGUCUAUUUAAACAAUUUUUUGUCUUUGUUUCCUUUCUUCCUCUCUCCCACCUUCCUUCUUUCCUUUCUUUUUCCCACUCUCUCUUCUUCUUUCCUUCUCGCUCUCCCUUGGCGACGUGAAUUUUUUUCUGGCAUACAUUGAAUGACUCGUCUGCCACAAAGUUGAAUUCUAAUACACAAUGGUGUUUGGUUUCGCAUAGUGUAAUCACAAUUUUGUGCAUUUUAAAAUUACCUUAGACAACACUCAGAUUUGCAAGAGCAAAGGAAAUCAUUAACAGGUGAACUAUCAACGAUUGCCAAAAUUCUUUCCAUAUUGGCUGCCUAUACUUGGGUUCUCUGCAGCCAGAGUUUGCUCUGUUUCCUCUUUUGGAAGCUAGAAAAAUUAAAAAUCAUUGUUCUAUGUUUAAAAACUAUAGAAAUGCUGUUCUCCAAAUAGAAAAGACUGGAGCAGAACAGGUAUAUAUUCUGUGAACUUUGUUUUCCAAAAAGUCUGGUUGAGUAUUUAAGGUCCAGCUACCUACCAAGAGAUAUGCCAAGGUCUGCAAAGUGUAGAAUGCCAAACAAUGGCAUGUGUUUCAUCAAUUCAAUCCAUGUGUUUCAUCAAUUCAUGCAUUUUUUUCCCUUAAAUAAUAAGUCAAUUUUAUCCUUUUGAUUCAACCAACACAGCUUAGGGGAUGACACAUGCAUACAGUAGACUGUCAGAGUGGUAUACUUUGUAAAAUAGAAAUAAAUGAAAAUAAAAUAGAAAGGAAAAAAAGCAGACGAUUUGCUAGGAACUCUGCCUGACCUGUAGUCUCUCAGCACAUAACAUUGUCUCUGGGGAAGAAAAGUUUAUCUUGGGCUGCAAACAGACAAUAAAUGGUAAGAAGGCUCAAGUUCUGAGACUUGGAUAACCACAGUAAGUAUCCCUUAUGUUAGGGCAGUGCAGAGCUCAGCUUUCUAAGAUGGAGAUUUCUAACGAAGAGACACAUUUCCCUAUGUAAUGAGAAAGUUGGGCUUAGAGGGUUUUUUACUUUGCUUAUUUAUUGUGUGCAUGAAAAUUUUUGCUCUCAAGUUUGUUUUUGUCAGAUCUUGACAAAAUUCAGACUGCAUAAAGUUUAAAAAGGUAUCUACAGCAAUUUUUUUAAAAGCAUAGUUGAAAAUCUCUUAUCUUCUCCCUACUCCAUUUAAUUCAUCAACCUAGAAGAUGUGGUUGAAGCCCUCUUCUUAACAGUUUAGAAGUGGUGUGUUACCAUGGACUUUUGUUUGAGUAAUAUAAAAUAACUCAUGGAUAGUCUGACACUUUGCAAGAAAGCAUGUAACUCUGUUGUUCAAAUAUAACACCAGGAGGCCUUGGGAUUAUCUACCUAUCAGUGCUGAGAUAGAGAAACAGUCAAAAGCAACCCUUCUUGCUCCAAGCAUGUGCAGGAUGUUUUUUGGUUUCAGCAAUUUGUUGCAUACUGACUAUGUCCUUUACCUUCUCUUAAAUUAUGUAUCAAUUCAUGCUGGUUUAUUCACUUCCUGAUGUCUAUAUGAAGAGGCUGUCUGCCAACAUCUUUCAUCACUCUGCCUGCAACUAUGAAAAGUUUAGUUCUAAAAAAUGCAACCUUGCUAAAUUGAGUACUAAUAGGAUUGGUUCAAUUAUGUUCUAUGUCUGUUCCAUAUUGACAUUGUGUGCAUCUUUGCCAUGCAGGCUUUUUAGGAAUUAUCGUAUCUCUAACUACCCAUGAGUGUUUAUGAACAUAUUUAGAUUUAAAGAACUUUAUUGCUUUAGACAGAAUAAAGCAUGCAGUUCUAACAGAAAGAUCCAUGAAUUCCAGAAAUAUCACUGAAAAUUAUUGACAUUUAAGAUUAUUUUCUGUCUGUUACUAUGGUUCACAAUUCAAGAAUAACUCUGGCCAGGUGCAGUAGCUCACACCCUGUAAUCCCAGCACUUUGGGAGGCUGAGGUAGGCAGAUCACUUGAACUUAAGAGUUCAAGACCAGCCUGGGAAACAUGGCAAAAUCCCACCACUACAAAAAAAUACAAAAAUUAGUUGGUCAUGGUGGUGUUCACCUAUAGUCCCAGUGACUUGGGAGGCUGGGAUGGGAGGAUCUCUUGAGCCCAGGAGAUGCAGGCUUGCAGUGAGCCAUGAUCAUGCCACUGUACUGCAGACUGGGUGAAACAGCAAGAUCUUGUCUCAAAAGAAAGAAAAAAAAAGUAAAAGAAAAAGAAAAGAAAAUAACUCCCAUUGCUAAAGACAUAUAUGCUUAUCAGGUUAAGAUAAAGUGAAUUUUGUCCUUCCCAAUGACAUUUCAGGAUAUUUGUUCACAGGAAAGAACAUGUUGAGAAUUGGUACUGGCUAGAAAUUUCUGUUGAGUAUUUAUUACCCCAUGGUAAUAACGGUAAACCACAGUUUAGAAAGAUUUUUUUUUUUGACAGCCACAGCAUGUUCCAAAGAGAUAAUUGGAAGAUGGAAGUGGAGGGUUAAAUAAUGAAAUGCAGCUAACAUUUCAGAAAGUUUCUAAAAGUUGUACAACAUGCCCUACAGCUACUCUUUAAAUCUCCAAAUCAAAUGAGUUCCAGGUGGAGCCUCUGGGAGGUGAUGAGGUCAUGAGAGUGGAGCCUCAUGAAUGGGAUGAGCACUCCUACAAAAAGGAUUCCAGAGAGCUCCCUUGCUCCUUCCACAGUGUGAGGACACAGCAGGAAGGCUCUGUCUAUGAAUGAGGAAGUGGGUCCCCACCAGACAUUGAAGCUGCCGCAUCUUGAUAUUGGACUUCCAGUCUCCAGAAUUGUGGGCAAUAAAUUUAUGUUGUUUAUUACCUGUCGAGUAUCUUUGGUAUUUUGCUAUAGCAACCCAAAGGGACUAAGAAAACACCAGAGGCCAUACCUAAUAAAAAUAUUAGGUCACAA